UACGGGGGGGGCAAGCGUUGUUCGGAAUUACUGGGCGUAAAGGGCUCGUAGGCGGCCAACUAAGUCAGACGUGAAAUCCCUCGGCUUAACCGGGGAACUGCGUCUGAUACUGGAUGGCUUGAUUGUGGGAGAGGGAUGCGGAAUUCCAGGUGUAGCGGUGAAAUGCGUAGAUAUCUGGAGGAACACCGGUGGCGAAGGCGGCAUCCUGGACCACGACUGACGCUGAGUGAGCGAAAGCCAGGGGAGCAAACGGG
rnacentral:rRNA from 1 species